rnacentral:misc_RNA from 1 species
CACCACUCAAGCCUGGCUUGGUAUUGGGCGUCGCGGCUCCCGCGCGCCUCAAUGUCUCCGGCGGGGUCGUCCACCUCUUAAGCGUUGUGACACAAUCUCAUCCGCUUGCGGGGCGUGGCCGGCUCGUCGCCGUUAAACAUACAUUCAA